rnacentral:lncRNA from 1 species
UUCUUUGUUUAGGGGUAACUCGUUACGCCAUUAAUGUUAGGCCUAAACUUUAUUUUAUGAUUUAGUUAAGUGUAGAUCCCUACUUAAGCUAAGUCAAUGAACUUGAACUUACUAGUAGCCUACAUACCACUUUACUAGUACAAUACUACUAGUAUUACCACAAUACCAAUAAUAUGCCGAAAUACCGAAGAAACAACAUUUUACUUUUAACUUAGCAGCCACCGUUGACGUUGUACCACCUGGCUUGGGUUUGUCAACUAUAACAAUGACACUGAUUGCUGUGUUUGUAGUAUUGAGACAUCGAGUGUCUUGUUGGACAGUUGUUUGAUAACAAUAUGGAACACAUCAGUGUUCUCUGGUUUAGACGUGAAAUAUUGUAAAAGAUGAUGAAGAAAUUAGGGUUUGUCAACUAUAACAAUGACACUGAUUGCUGUGUUUGUAGUAUUGAGACAUCGAGUGUCUUAUUGAACAGUUGUUUGAUAACAGUAUGGAAUACAUCGGUCUCUUUGGUGCCUCCUCCGAUUUAGAAGGAAAUAUUUAAAAGGAUGAGGAAAAGAACUCUUAUUAUUUUAGGCUUAACAAGGGAAUCUCUAUGUUUCACAUUUUCUCUGCCUGAAACUUACAAUUAUAAUGGCUUUCAACAGCACUUCAGGAGCCAAAUAUCUGAAGAUAACGUCAUCCAGAGAGGGACGAGGCAACCAUUUUCAUUUCGGCUAUGCUGUCGAGGAGGUGUUGGAUAUGCACAUCCGUGAUGAGUGAUAAAAACGCAUCACUCUACCUGUCACUGUGAUUGUUGAUAAGAAAAACACUGGCUAUUUUGGUUAAGUUUAAUUACUUCAAUAAUUCAUACUUAGCUUUAAAAAAAAAAAGUCACGGUGUAUUCCAAAUUGUACCGUCAGUAACAUUAGAUCAAUAUAUUUACCACUUGUUUUGUAUCUAUAUGAUAAAUAAAUAGCAAAUUCACUGCGUUAAUCAUGAUUCUUGUGCAGUUAUAUGAAUUAAACUCCGGAACUAUGAUACUCAAAUACUCGCAUGAAAAUCAACGAGGCAUAGCCACUUAGUGCUAGACAUUGUAGAUGUUAGGAACAGUUUUUAUUGGCUGAAUAAGAAA